rnacentral:rRNA from 2 species
GGUCAAGCGAACAAGUGCAUGUGGUGGAUGCCUUGGCGAUCACAGGCGAUGAAGGACGCGGUAGCCUGCGAAAAGCUACGGGGAGCUGGCAAACGAGCUUUGAUCCGUAGAUGUCCGAAUGGGGAAACCCACUCCUUUUGGAGUAUCCAUGACUGAAUACAUAGGUCAUGUGAAGCGAACGCGGUGAACUGAAACAUCUAAGUAACCGCAGGAAAAGAAAUCAACCGAGAUUCCCAAAGUAGUGGCGAGCGAAAUGGGAAGAGCCUGUACUCUUUAUUUGUAUUGUUAGCCGAACGCUCUGGAAAGUGCGGCCAUAGCAGGUGAUAGCCCUGUAGGCGAAAACAGUAUGAAAGAACUAGGUGUACGACAAGUAGGGCGGGACACGUGAAAUCCUGUCUGAAGAUGGGGGGACCAUCCUCCAAGGCUAAAUACUCGUGAUCGACCGAUAGUGAACCAGUACCGUGAGGGAAAGGUGAAAAGAACCCCGGGAGGGGAGUGAAAUAGAUCCUGAAACCGCAUGCAUACAAACAGUCGGAGCCUCGUAAGGGGUGACGGCGUACCUUUUGUAUAAUGGGUCAGCGACUUACGUUCAGUAGCAAGCUUAACCGAAUAGGGCAGGCGUAGCGAAAGCGAGUCCGAAUAGGGCGUUCAGUUGCUGGGCGUAGACCCGAAACCAAGUGAUCUAUCCAUGGCCAGGAUGAAGGUGCGGUAACACGUACUGGAGGUCCGAACCCACUAACGUUGAAAAGUUAGGGGAUGAGCUGUGGAUAGGGGUGAAAGGCUAAACAAACUUGGAAAUAGCUGGUUCUCUCCGAAAACUAUUUAGGUAGUGCCUCGUGUCUCACCUUCGGGGGUAGAGCACUGUCAUGGUUGGGGGGUCUAUUGCAGAUUACCCCGCCAUAGCAAACUCCGAAUACCGAAGAGUGCAAUCACGGGAGACAGACAUCGGGUGCUAACGUCCGGUGUCAAGAGGGAAACAACCCAGACCGCCAGCUAAGGUCCCCAAAUAUGGCUAAGUGGGAAACGAAGUGGGAAGGCUAAAACAGUCAGGAGGUUGGCUUAGAAGCAGCCACCCUUUAAAGAAAGCGUAAUAGCUCACUGAUCGAGUCGUCCUGCGCGGAAGAUGUAACGGGGCUAAGCCAUAUACCGAAGCUGCGGAUGCGAGCUAGUCUCGCAUGGUAGGAGAGCGUUCCGUAAGCCUGCGAAGGUGCAUUGUAAAGUGUGCUGGAGGUAUCGGAAGUGCGAAUGCUGACAUGAGUAGCGAUAAAGGGGGUGAAAGGCCCCCUCGCCGUAAGCCCAAGGUUUCCUACGCAACGUUCAUCGGCGUAGGGUGAGUCGGCCCCUAAGGCGAGGCAGAAAUGCGUAGCUGAUGGGAAGCAGGUCAAUAUUCCUGCACCAUUGUUAAAUGCGAUGGGGGGACGGAUCGCGGAAGGUUGUCCGGGUGUUGGAAGUCCCGGUCGCUGCAUUGGAGAAGGCGCUUAGGCAAAUCCGGGCGCGGAAUUCAAGGGUGUGGCGCGAGCUUCUUCGGAAGCGAAGCAAUCGGAAGUGGUUCCAAGAAAAGCCUCUAAGCUUCAGUUUAACAGUGACCGUACCGCAAACCGACACAGGUGGGCGAGAUGAGUAUUCUAAGGCGCUUGAGAGAACUCGGGAGAAGGAACUCGGCAAAUUGGUACCGUAACUUCGGGAUAAGGUACGCCCCUGUAGCUUGACUGGCCUGCGCCAGAAGGGUGAAGGGGUUGCAAUAAACUGGUGGCUGCGACUGUUUAAUAAAAACACAGCACUCUGCAAACACGAAAGUGGACGUAUAGGGUGUGACGCCUGCCCGGUGCCGGAAGAUUAAAUGAUGGGGUGCAAGCUCUUGAUUGAAGUCCCGGUAAACGGCGGCCGUAACUAUAACGGUCCUAAGGUAGCGAAAUUCCUUGUCGGGUAAGUUCCGACCUGCACGAAUGGCGUAACGAUGGCCACACUGUCUCCUCCCGAGACUCAGCGAAGUUGAAGUGUUUGUGAUGAUGCAAUCUCCCCGCGGCUAGACGGAAAGACCCCAUGAACCUUUACUGUAGCUUUGCAUUGGACUUUGAACCGAUCUGUGUAGGAUAGGUGGGAGGCUAUGAAACCGGAACGCUAGUUUCGGUGGAGCCGUCCUUGAAAUACCACCCUGGUUUGUUUGAGGUUCUAACCUUGGCCCGUGAUCCGGGUCGGGGACAGUGCAUGGUAGGCAGUUUGACUGGGGCGGUCUCCUCCCAAAGUGUAACGGAGGAGUACGAAGGUACGCUAGGUACGGUCGGAAAUCGUGCUGAUAGUGCAAUGGCAUAAGCGUGCUUAACUGCGAGACCGACAAGUCGAGCAGGUGCGAAAGCAGGUCAUAGUGAUCCGGUGGUUCUGUAUGGAAGGGCCAUCGCUCAACGGAUAAAAGGUACUCUGGGGAUAACAGGCUGAUACCGCCCAAGAGUUCAUAUCGACGGCGGUGUUUGGCACCUCGAUGUCGGCUCAUCUCAUCCUGGGGCUGUAGCCGGUCCCAAGGGUAUGGCUGUUCGCCAUUUAAAGAGGUACGUGAGCUGGGUUUAAAACGUCGUGAGACAGUUUGGUCCCUAUCUGCCGUGGGCGUUGGAUAUUUGAAGGGGGCUGCUCCUAGUACGAGAGGACCGGAGUGGACGAACCUCUGGUGUACCGGUUGUCACGCCAGUGGCAUCGCCGGGUAGCUAUGUUCGGAAGAGAUAACCGCUGAAAGCAUCUAAGCGGGAAACUCGCCUUAAGAUGAGAUAUCCCCGGGGACUUGAUCCCCUUGAAGGGUCGUUCGAGACCAGGACGUUGAUAGGUCAGGUGUGUAAGCGCAGUAAUGCGUUCAGCUAACUGAUACUAAUUGCCCGUAAGGCUUGAUCCUA